CUGGCCGUAAACGAUGAACACUAGAUGUUGGGGGAAUCGACCCCCUCGGCGUCGUAGCUAACGCGUUAAGUGUUCCGCCUGGGGAGUACGCACGCAAGUGUGAAACUCAAAGGAAUUGACGGGGGCCCGCACAAGCGGUGGAGUAUGUGGUUUAAUUCGAUGCAACGCGAAGAACCUUACCAAGGCUUGACAUCCUGCGAAUCUCCAAGAAAUUGGAGAGUGCCUUUUGGAACGCAGUGACAGGUGGUGCAUGGCUGUCGUCAGCUCGUGUCGUGAGAUGUUGGGUUAAGUCCCGCAACGAGCGCAACCCACGUUUUUAGUUGCCAGCAUUCAGUUGGGCACUCUAGAAAGACUGCCGGUGACAAACCGGAGGAAGGUGUGGACGACGUCAAGUCAUCAUGCCCCUUACGCCUUGGGCUACACACGUACUACAAUGCUGCGGACAAAGAGUAGCGAUCUUGCGAAAGUUAGCUAAUCUCGUAAACCGUGGCUCAGUUCAGAUCGUAGGCUGCAACUCGCCUACGUGAAGGAGGAAUCGCUAGUAAUCGCAGGUCAGCAUACUGCGGUGAAUACGUUCCCGGGCCUUGUACACACCGCCCGUCACACCAUGGAAGUUGGCCAUGCCCGAAGUCGUUACUCUAACCUUUUGGAAGAGGGCGCCGAAGGCAGGGCUAAUGACUGGGGUGAAGUCGUAACAAGGUAGCCGUAGCGGAAGCUGCGGCUGGAUCACCUCCUAA
rnacentral:rRNA from 1 species